rnacentral:rRNA from 1 species
UACAGAGGGGGCAAGCGUUAUUCGGAAUUAUUGGGCGUAAAGGGCGCGUAGGCGGCCUGGCAAGUGGAAGGUGAAAUCCCUCGGCUUAACCGAGGAACUGCCUCCCAAACUGCUUGGCUUGAGACCGGGAGAGGUGAGUGGAAUUCCUGGUGUAGCGGUGAAAUGCGCAGAUAUCAGGAAGAACACCCGUGGCGAAGGCGGCUCUCUGGGACGGUACUGACGCUGAGACGCGAAAGCGUGGGGAGCGAACAGG